rnacentral:rRNA from 1 species
UACGUAGGGAGCGAGCGUUGUCCGGAUUCAUUGGGCGUAAAGAGCUCGUAGGCGGUUCAGUAAGUCGGGUGUGAAAUCUCCGUGCUCAACACGGAGCGGCCACCUGAUACUGCUGUGACUCGAGUCCGGUAGGGGAGUGUGGAAUUCCCGGUGUAGCGGUGAAAUGCGCAGAUAUCGGGAGGAACACCAGUAGCGAAGGCGGCACUCUGGGCCGUGACGUGACGCUGAGGAGCGAAAGCGUGGGUAGCAAACAGG